CUUCCUUUUGCCCCGGGAGCACGUGUGGGAAGCUGCGCUUGGACGGGGAAAGGAAUGAGGGGCCGCCGGGAAAGACGGAAAGAGGCUUGGAGUGCACAAUGAAGGGAGACCAGAGCAAGCGCCUGGGUGACGCAGCAAAUAAGAAAGAUGUGUUUUGAUCCUUAUGCCUAAAGUGGGGACCUGCUAUGCCACUGAUGGAUGAUCUGAAAGAGCAAGAUUUCUCGUGUUUGGAAUGCUGCCCUUUGGUUAACCUUCUGAAGGACCUUCAUUUAGACACAUAGAAUUCUAGAGUUGGAAGGGACCCUUAUGAUCAUCUAGUCCAACCCCCUGCAGUACAGGAAUAUGCAGCUGUCCUAUAAGGGGAUCGAACCUGCAACCUUGGUAUUAUCAGCACUACACUCCAACCAAGUGAGCUAUCCAGGCUGACAAUUGGAUGGCACUAGAGCAGAGCAGGAGGUGUGCUGGCCUUCCCUGGCUAAACACACAGCUGCCAGCACCAUGGAUAUAUACAGAAUGCAUUGUGAUGCUUCUGCCUAAAGAGGAGGCUCUCUCCAGCAGUUGAGGUUCAGAAGAUUUCAUGUUUAGAUUUGGAAUUCCCGGUAUUUCGGAGCUUCAGGAAAGCACAGAACUGUUGAGUGAGCGAGCGAUGCACGGCCUCUUACGAAUGUCUCCUGCUGGCAAAUAAUCGUUUUCUUAUCAGACUACCUGCAAGGAAGAACCAAGUCAGAACACACCUGGCAGCUUUAAUUGGAUUUUGGCAGUCAGACUGGGGAGUGUGGCUUGUUCAUAUUUCCUCAACAUCUCAUUACAGUGGUACCUCUGGUUGCGAACGGCCCUGGUUACAAUUUUUUGGGUUACGGACACUUUUAACCCGGAACUGAGUGUUCCUGCUUGUGAAUUUAUUUCGGCAUGUGAGCGAGGCAUCGCUAGGCCCCGGCACCUACCGAAGCCUCCACUAUCGGGUUCC